AUUGAACGCUGGCGGCAGGCUCAACACAUGCAAGUCGAGCGGGGUGAUGGUGCUUGCACUAUCACUUAGCGGCGGACGGGUGAGUAAUGCUUAGCAAUCUGCCUAUCAGUGGGGGACAACAUCUCGAAAGGGAUGCUAAUACCGCAUACGUCCUACGGGAGAAAGCAGGGGAACUCUGGUGACCUUGCGCUAAGAGAUGAGCCUAAGUCGGAUUAGCUAGUUGGUGGGGUAAAGGCCUAACAAGGCGACGAUCUGUAGCGGGUUUGAGGGGAUGAACCGCCACACUGGGACUGAGACACGGCCCAGACUCCUACGGGAGGCAGCAGUGGGGAAUAGUGGACAAUGGGGGGAACCCUGAUCCAGCCAUGCCGCGUGUGUGAAGAAGGCCUUAUGGUUGUAAAGCACUUUAAGCGAGGAGGAGGCUCUUUUGGUUAAUACCCAAGAUGAGUGGACGUUACUCGCAGAAUAAGCACCGGCUAACUCUGUGCCAGCCGCCGCGGUAA
rnacentral:rRNA from 1 species